AUGUCCGCAUGUACGGUCCCUUCGGAGAAACACGGAGCACCCCUUUCAGUGUUCCAGUGCAGGACAAUAAUAACAUCGUGGGUUUCUUUGCGUGCGCUGGUAAAUACAUGGAGGCGCUCGGGGUUUACGUGCGUUCACCCGUUUCAACCUAGUACGUCACUGGGUGUUGUGUCACACCCUGUAUGUCUUCCAUGUUUUUAUGUUGUGGCAAUAAGGAAGAAGUGUGUUAUAUUUUUUGUAAACUUGUUGGUUUACUUAUCAGCACAAUUCUGUUAUCAAUCAAUGCAAAAUAAUGUUCGUACCUUUGCAGAGAAACUUUAUCACGCUUACCAUAUUGUACUCUAUUAG
rnacentral:rRNA from 1 species